UUAGCUAGUUGGUGAGGUAAAGGCUCACCAAGGCGACGAUCUGUAGCGGGUCUGAGAGGAUGAUCCGCCACACUGGAACUGAGACACGGUCCAGACUCCUACGGGAGGCAGCAGUGGGGAAUUUUGGACAAUGGGGGCAACCCUGAUCCAGCCAUGCCGCGUGAGUGAAGAAGGCCUUCGGGUUGUAAAGCUCUUUCGGCCGGGAAGAAAUCGUAUGGGUUAAUACCCUGUGCGGAUGACGGUACCGGCAUGAGAAGCACCGGCUAACUACGUGCCAGCAGCCGCGGUAAUACGUAGGGUGCGAGCGUUAAUCGGAAUUACUGGGCGUAAAGCGUGCGCAGGCGGUUUUGUAAGACAGGCGUGAAAUCCCCGGGCUCAACCUGGGAACUGCGCUUGUGACUGCAAGGCUAGAGUAUGGCAGAGGGGGGUGGAAUUCCACGUGUAGCAGUGAAAUGCGUAGAGAUGUGGAGGAACACCAAUGGCGAAGGCAGCCCCCUGGGCCAAUACUGACGCUCAUGCACGAAAGCGUGGGUAGCAAACAGGAUUAGAUACCCUGGUAGUCCACGCCCUAAACGAUGUCAACUAGGUGUUGGGUGGGUAAAACCAUUUAGUACCGGAGCUAACGCGUGAAGUUGACCGCCUGGGGAGUACGGCCGCAAGGUUAAAACUCAAAGGAAUUGACGGGGACCCGCACAAGCGGUGGAUGAUGUGGAUUAAUUCGAUGCAACGCGAAAAACCUUACCUACCCUUGACAUGUCCAGGAGCCUGAAGAGAUUUGGGUGUGCCCGAAAGGGAACUGGAACACAGGUGCUGCAUGGCUGUCGUCAGCUCGUGUCGUGAGAUGUUGGGUUAAGUCCCGCAACGAGCGCAACCCUUGUCGUUAAUUGCCAUCAUUUAGUUGGGCACUUUAACGAGACUGCCGGUGACAAACCGGGGGAAGGUGGGGAUGACGUCAAGUCCUCAUGGCCCUUAUGGGUAGGGCUUCACACGUCAUACAAUGGUCGGUACAAAGGGUUGCCAACCCGCGAGGGGGAGCCAAUCCCAGAAAGCCGAUCGUAGUCCGGAUUGCAGGCUGCAACUCGCCUGCAUGAAGUCGGAAUCGCUAGUAAUCGUGGAUCAGCAUGUCACGGUGAAUACGUUCCCGGGUCUUGUACACACCGCCCGUCACACCAUGGGAGCGGGUUCCGCCAGAAGUAGGUAGCCUAACCGCAAGGGGGGCGCUUACCACGGCGGGGUUCGUGACUGGGGUGAAGUCGUAACAAGGUA
rnacentral:rRNA from 1 species